rnacentral:rRNA from 1 species
CCUACGGGAGGCAGCAGUGGGGAAUAUUGGACAAUGGGCGGAAGCCUGAUCCAGCCAUGCCGCGUGUGUGAAGAAGGCCUUUUGGUUGUAAAGCACUUUAAGCGAGGAGGAGGCUACUAGUAUUAAUACUACUGGAUAGUGGACGUUACUCGCAGAAUAAGCACCGGCUAACUCUGUGCCAGCAGCCGCGGUAAUACAGAGGGUGCGAGCGUUAAUCGGAUUUACUGGGCGUAAAGCGUGCGUAGGCGGCUGAUUAAGUCGGAUGUGAAAUCCCUGAGCUUAACUUAGGAAUUGCAUUCGAUACUGGUCAGCUAGAGUAUGGGAGAGGAUGGUAGAAUUCCAGGUGUAGCGGUGAAAUGCGUAGAGAUCUGGAGGAAUACCGAUGGCGAAGGCAGCCAUCUGGCCUAAUACUGACGCUGAGGUACGAAAGCAUGGGGAGCAAACAGGAUUAGAUACCCUGGUAGUCCAUGCCGUAAACGAUGUCUACUAGCCGUUGGGGUCUUUGAGACUUUAGUGGCGCAGCUAACGCGAUAAGUAGACCGCCGUGGGGAGUACGGUCGCAGACUAAACGUCAAAUUGAAUUGACGGCUUGAGGCGNGCGACGGCGCGAGAGGGAGGAGG